rnacentral:lncRNA from 1 species
CGUGUCCCCAGACUUCGACACUGGCAUUCUCAUUGGUCCCUUUGUAACUUACUGGGAUAAAUAAAUGAUGGUAUACAUAAUUUUUCUUUUCUUUUUUCUUGGUUCCUUACUAGAAUAUAAGCUUCACGAGGGCAGAAACUUUGACCUCUGUUGGAUGCUCUUUCUUGCCUGGUACAUCGUGCCUGGUACAUCGUGCCUGGUACAUCGUGCCUGGUACAUCGUGCCUGGUACAUCGUGCCUGGUACAUCGUGCCUGGUACAUCGUGCCUGGUACAUCGUGCCUGGUACAUCGUAGGUGCUCAUAUACUUUCUGAACGGAAAAGUGUGGGCAAUGGCAUUAUUCUAAAGACCUUAGCGUGGAAGAUUGACACAUAGAGUGUCUUUGUGGAGGGUGAUUUGUAAGAAACAGUAGGAGUAGGUGACUGAUGACUCCUGUAGGUGAAAGUGUUGAGGAACAGUAAGAAUAAUGGAACGUGUAUUAGUAAGAGAAAAAUGGAACGAAGAGGAACCUGUCCAGAUGAGUAGGAGUUAUCAAAGGGCACGUCGAAACAGUGUAAAUCACACGACGAAAGGAGUAAAUGGGAGUGAGCCAGUGACUUCCUCUUCUGCCCAGUUGAAGCCAUCAGAAUUCUCCCAACUCAACCCCCCUAAAGCUCAGAAUCCCUGGAAGUAGCACAGUAAAUAAGCAGAGGAAGACCGAAAGGUGGAAGGAAGGUGGUGGACCGUCCAGGAACCUCUGGACUUGGGAAACAAGAGGGUGAGUUCCUUGGUUUUCUUCAUUAGCUCCCAUAUGUCCCUGGACAGGGUGCUGCAGAAGCUUCCAGUCCUGAACAGCCGUCAGGCACAGGGGAAAAAAGAGCUCCAAGAAGAGCCUGUUCCCUCUGGCCAAAGGACAGGGAAAAGGAUGGUCUAAGAAACUGUCAGUACUCAGCCUGCUCCAGUCAGACACCAGGGGAAUCCCUUCACCUCCACACAUUUUCAGUAGGUCUGAGUGAGAAGUUGACUUCCUGCUCCCUUUUCCCACCCGUCCUCGAAAGCACGCAGCAUGCUGCGGUCUCCCUGCCUGGAGAUGGGAGGUUUGCCUGAGCAGGGAGCUCAUCUUUCACUCCCUGCCUGGCAGAAGCAGAUGGCACUUCAGUUUUUUCACCAGGUGGUGUCAACAGAGCCAACCAGGUGCAACCAGGUGGGGCAGGUAGGGUCUAAUUACCACAAAGCUUGAUGUUCUUUUCCCCUUCCCCCUCCCUGCCAUAGUCUUCCAGUUGAGGGGAGUGGCGUUGAGCCUGCACACCCACUGGCAUCAGUAAGGUAGAAUGGGCGGAAAGACGCAGGGCUGCCCGGCACCCACUUAACCCUUUCUGGUGGAAUGGAGCUCAUUAAGGUGCAGCUGUUGUGUCGCCACAAAGUGGCAUGACUUAGCCCUUGGGUUGCUGCUCCCUGGUGGGAGCUAGGCACAAGGGGAAGCUGAUUUUCUUACAUGAAGGCAAGAGAAGUGAUGAAUUGUAGCCAUAUUUUUGCCAAGAAUGUGUCAGUAAAGUGAACUUCCACCUCCCCUGUUGGCAGUACGUCCAUGCCAAUCAGUGCCUUGCUUUUUGUCUGCAUGUUGGCUUAGGGGAAGGUCUGCAUACCGGAAUACAUACACCCACCCAUCUGUGGCAUUAUACCUUAACAGGAUCCAGGAUUUCUCAACAAAAAUGUCAGGGUACAAUUAAACAGCCAUCAUAUCAAGAACCAGGAAAAUCACUCAUGAAUGAGAACAAAGAACACGUGCCAACACUGAGAUUUAUCUGACGAAUAUUUGAAAGCAGCCAUGAUAAAAAUGUUUUAGAAAGCUGUUACAAAUUCUAGAAAAGCUCAGCAAAGAAAUAGAAUUUCUUAAGAGAAUGAAAAAGAAAUUAUAGAGCUAAAAAAACAACAAAUUAAAAAAGUGAAUGGACUCAGUUGUGGAGAUAACAGAGUAUAGAAUUUACUCAAUAUACAUAGCAGAGAAAAUAGAGUGGGAAAAAAAAAUAGUCUCUCAUACCUCUGGGACAGUAAGUUAAUAUUCAUGUCAACACAGCCCCAGAGAGAAAGGAGAAAGUAAGACCAAAAAACAAAAUUUAAAGAAAUAUCUAAAAACUUCCCAAGAUGGUGAAAGACAUAAACUUGCAUUUGAAAAGCUGAACGAAUCCCAAACAGGAUAAACCCAAAGAAAUCUCUGCCAAGAAACACCAUGAUUAAACUUCUACAGACUAAAGAGAAAACUAUUGAAAUUAUCCAGAGAGAAGUGACACCUUUCUUGUAGGGGAAAACCAAUUUAAAUGAGAGGAGCUUGCUCAUCUGGAACCAUGGAGGCCAUGACACACUUUGUAGGGACUGAGAGAAAAGAUCAGCCACAAAUUGUAUGUGAGGCGAUCCCAGUAACAGAAUCAUUCAGGAGUAGAAGGGAAAGGACCUGUUUCUGAGAUAAAGGAAUAACUAAGAAUUUAUUGCUAGCAAAUAAAAAGAGUCGGAACUUCAGGAAUAUUUAUCCAUUCCAGUGUUCUUUCAUAACAGAUCCUGAUGAGCUUCUUAAAUCAUAUUUCAUAGUGGAAACAAAGCACAUACCACAAUAUGAUGUGGUAAAUCUAUGUAAAAUAUCUAAGAUAAUUAUUCUUGAAAAAGGGAGCAGAUAAAGAGACCGAAGGGGAAUUAAGUUGUGUAUACUUAAAAUGAUAAAAUAUUGAUACCCAUAGCACAAGUUACAUAUGCAUAUUUUAAUCUUUAGAGCAACUGCUAAAAAAUUACAGAAAGCAAUAUACUCAAAACACACUGAACAAAUUAAGAUGGAAUUCUUAAAAUGUUUACAUUAUUUAUAGUAAGGUAAAAAGAGAACCAGGAAGAAAUAGGAAACAAUUAAAUACAGACUUAAGGCCUUCCGUAUGUAUAGUUACCUUAAAUAGUAGGGGGUCUGAAUUUACUCAGAAGACAGAGAUUGGCAGAAUGGGUAAGAAAAUAUCCUAAAUUAUACUGUUUACAAGAAAAGCAUUGAUAAAUGAUGAAUAAGUGUGUUGAAAGUAAGGGAUGGAAAAGAAUAUUGUUUGAAUAUUUAAAAAGUGACCAUGUUGGAGUUUCUGUUGUGGCUCAGUGGGUUAAGAACCCAGUUGGUACCCAUGAAGACACAGGUUUGAUCCCUGGCCUUGCUCAGUGGGUUAAGGAUCUGGUGUUGCUGUAGGUUGUUGUGUAGGCUGUAGAUGUGGCUCGGAUCUGCUCUUGGCCAUGGCUGUGGUAUAGGCUCGUGGCUGUGGCUCUGACUUAGCCCCUAGCCUGGAACUUCUGUAUGCCACAGAUGUGGCCCUAAACAAACAAACAGUCAUAUUAAUAGCAGAAAAUUUCAGGACAAAGAAGCUUAACUAGAGAGAAAGACACAUGAUAGAAGAACCAACCCAAUAUGGAAGACAUAAUGAUAUGGAAUAUUUACAUACCAAGGAAGAAAACAUUAAAAUAUAUGAAGCAAAAACUUACACCUAUUUGUAAGUAUAAAUGAAGUUGGAGUCUUUUAACACACUGUUCUCAACAAUGGAUAUAACUACUAGAUGGAAAAUCAAGACAACAGGAAAUUUUUUCAACACUUGAAACACAUUUAUUAAUAAUGCAUGGUUGAAAGGAAAAUUUCAAAAGAAAUUAAUGAAAAUACAGUAUGUCAGAUAUGUGGGAUGUGGCUUAAAGCAGUGCUGAGAGGAAAGUUGUAGUAUUAAAUGAUUGCCUUUGAAAGGAGGAAAGAUCUAAUAUCAAUAAAUUAAGCUACCUCAAACUACAAAAGAGCGAACUCUAAAACAAGGAAAAGGAGUUCCUGUCAUGACUCAGCAGUUAACGAAUCUGAUUAGCAUCCACGAGGAUGCAGGUUCGAUCCCUGGCCUUGAUCAGUGGGUUACGGAUCCGGUGUUGCUGUGAGCUGUGGUGUAGGUUGCAGACACGGCUCGGAUCCUGCAUUGCUGUGGCAUAGGCCAGCAGCUACAGCUUCGAUUUGACCCCUAGCCUGGGAACCUCCGUAUGCCAUGGGUGCGGCCCUGAAAAGCAAAAAAA